rnacentral:rRNA from 1 species
AUUGAACGCUGGCGGCAGGCCUAACACAUGCAAGUCGAGCGGAUGAAGGGAGCUUGCUCGUGGAUUCAGCGGCGGACGGGUGAGUAAUGCCUAGGAAUCUGCCUGGUAGUGGGGGAUAACGUCCGGAAACGGGCGCUAAUACCGCAUACGUCCUGAGGGAGAAAGUGGGGGAUCUUCGGACCUCACGCUAUCAGAUGAGCCUAGGUCGGAUUAGCUAGUUGGUGGGGUAAAGGCCUACCAAGGCGACGAUCCGUAACUGGUCUGAGAGGAUGAUCAGUCACACUGGAACUGAGACACGGUCCAGACUCCUACGGGAGGCAGCAGUGGGGAAUAUUGGACAAUGGGCGAAAGCCUGAUCCAGCCAUGCCGCGUGUGUGAAGAGGGUCUUCGGAUUGUAAAGCACUUUAAGUUGGGAGGAAGGGCAGUAAAUUAAUACCUUGCUGUUUUGACGUUACCAACAGAAUAAGCACCGGCUAACUUCGUG